AAUCCCAGCACUUGCAAGGCUAGAUUUCUUGUGCUCAAUAGCGCUAUUUGUUGUUGAAUCUGUUGGGAUAGCUCACCUACCUUGAAGACAAAAUACCAUGUAACUAUUAAGGGGGCAGUCAGUUUCUGUUGACCCACCAAGAAAAAGAACUGAAGAAAUGGUUGUUGCAAAUGAACAUUUAUUUCAGCAGUCAGUGAGCACUGCUGGACAAAGAAUGUGGCUUACAAUGGGACUUUAGUCACAAAAGUCACCCAGAAUUUUCAUGAUGGCAAUUAUUGAGUUAGACCAGGGAAGAAAAUGAACAGAGCUGGCAAUGACUUGUGAUCAACACUGUCACACAUGUGCUGAUCAGAUAAUCCACUAAACACACACCAGUCUCAACUCCCGGCCUACACUGAAUUCUGUACACUAGACAUUUGCCAUAAUCCUAAUGGCUCACUACAAACCCAGCUUUAAUUCCAUCCACAUUCAAACACUAGAAGACUAAGUGCCUCCAAACAUUAAUUGCAUUCAAUUCAACCAACUUUCUGUAAGCACAUUAUCUCGUGCUCUAUUCAUAUCUAUCAUAGCCGUUGGCACACAAUCCCAGCACUUGAGCAAGGACAGGUGCGUUUGAAGACAGUCAAUACUGCACUUUCUCAUCUUGUCUUUUCUGGACGGUCAUAACAUCCAAUUCUCACUUGUGUCACUGGCCCUAGAAAACAAACACAGGGAUUACAAAACUACCAACACAAAAAUGAAAACAAAAAACCCCACAACAAUGCCUUUUUAAUGGUCCGUCUCAGAAGCCAGAUCCGUAAUUUUGUAUUUCAACAGGAAUUCAGGUUCGGGAUAGGGUCAUCAUAGAUCAGACCAAAGACAGUAUGUUCAUGUUCAACAACAACAAAAAACUGCACUCACAUGCAUUCCCAGGAGCUCUAGUAACUGUACAGGGAGCUGGCAUUUCACUCACUGGCAUUCGCUGCUAACAGAAAAAAAAAGCACUAUGAAGUAUUUUGUAGUUAUCUACUUAAAGCACACUAUACAACUGAGAAUACUUCCAUUUACUUCUCCAUACUUGAAAGUAAUCUGAUUGUUUAGAUCAAUUAUGCCUUACAAUGGUUCAAUCAACUCUAUAGCCAUUCCAAAUUAAAAGGCAAGCUUACAACAAAUCGUAUAUUAAUGUUAAGUUUAUAAAUGAAACGGUUGGCCAAUAUCAGUUUCUACACUUUAUAUUUUACCAUGUAGACGUAACGCUUUGUAUGCUCACAAAUUAAAACCUACCCUUGAUACACACCUUUUAAAAACAGUCAGGUCUUAAGCAAGUUAUCUCCUGUUAUGAAUUCACUGGGGUGGUUUGGCCCUCUGUCCUCCAUCUAAUUAAAGAAACAAAACUUUAAGCACCACAGCAGCCUCUACUCGUUCAAUUAGAAAACGAAGUUGCAUCACCCUCACCUGGGCAUUUCUUUGCAACUGCUUCGAAGACCCAGAAAACGAUGGCGUCAUUGUUCCUGUGAAAGGAGUAAUGCGUUAUCAGUCGUCUCUUGGGCGACACUAGCACCUUCUGAACAGCACGAAACUAAAAAAAAAAAAAAAAACCUUCCUCUGCCCAAGUCUUUUUGGAACAGAACUCACCCACGCCGGGAAAUAGGAACUAGACCCCUUAGGCCAUCAGCCAGGCCACCAAGCUCCAAUCUCCUUGGGCCUACGCGCCAAUCCUGCAAUCCCAUAGCAGAUGCGCAUUUCCCCAAGUAAAUUUUCAACCGCACUCUAACCUCAAACCUCCGAGGCUGUCCCACAAAACAGAAGCGUCCCAUUUUACUUUGCUCCACCGUAUUUCGCUUGGUCAUAACCCCCUCCCCCACAAUCCGCCCUCUCACUUACAGACAUAGGAAAAACCUCAGCUUCCCGACGUAAAAGAACGAGCCACGCAGCCUGCAGCUCCCUUUAUAGCCUGCGUGGAGCGAGACCGAGGCUGCCCCUCCCUCUCGCCCCUAUUGGAUGUGAAGCCAUGUGGGGGCGUGGCCUUUCCCUGGGGAACGCGUGGGAGCGCGCCUCUUUUCUUCCGGGCCAUCAUGGGGUGUGGUGCGCGCCCCCCCAGCUCGCCGCGUGCUCGUCCUUUGCGCGCGUCGCCGUCGGCACGUUGCCACCCGUCUCUUCCGAGUAUGUCCGGCCGCUCGGCUCUACGUGGCGUGGGAGUGGCGCCAGAAUUCAAACGAACAGCCGCAGUUGUAGGCGAGGUCACCGCCUGCUUUGAGCCAAGUCGGCUAGGACUCUCCGUGGCUGGGAGCGGCCUUUACGCGCGGCCCGUGGAGGAGCCUGGCUGGCCCGGUGGCCGGUGCUGCGCUUGGUCCGCGGCGGCGCAGCUGAAUGGACGUCGGCGGACAGUACUAAGACGGUGAAAACCGGAAAGCCCUACGUUUAUCCUUCGUGCACCCUGCGGGUACCGUAUGUCAGCAGAAGGCCACGCUGUCGCGUUCACGCCACCCAACUCCUGUUCAGGCACCCAGCCAGACAGGGUUUCUCUGUAGCUUUGGAGCCUGCCCUAGGACUUGCUGUGUAGACCAGGCUGGCCUGGAACUCAGAUCUGCUUGCCUCUGCCUCCUGAGUGCUGG
rnacentral:lncRNA from 1 species